UACGUAGGGAGCAAGCGUUGUCCGGAAUCAUUGGGCGUAAAGCGCGCGUAGGUGGCCACAUAAGUCCGUUGUGAAAGUCAAAGGCUCAACCUUUGAAAGCCGAUGGAUACUGUGUGGCUAGAGUACGGAAGAGGCGAGUGGAAUUCCUGGUGUAGCGGUGGAAUGCGCAGAUAUCAGGAGGAGCACCAAUAGCGAAGGCAGCUCGCUGGGACGUUACUGACACUGAGGCGCGAAAGCGUGGGGAGCGAACAGG
rnacentral:rRNA from 1 species